rnacentral:rRNA from 1 species
GAUGAACGCUGGCGGCGUGCCUAACACAUGCAAGUCGAGCGAUUUACUUCGGUAAGGAGCGGCGGACGGGUGAGUAACGCGUGGGUAACCUGCCCUGUACACACGGAUAACAUACCGAAAGGUAUGCUAAUACGAGAUAAUAUGCUUUUAUCGCAUGGUAGAAGUAUCAAAGCUUUUGCGGUACAGGAUGGACCCGCGUCUGAUUAGCUAGUUGGUAAGGUAACGGCUUACCAAGGCGACGAUCAGUAGCCGACCUGAGAGGGUGAUCGGCCACAUUGGAACUGAGACACGGUCCAAACUCCUACGGGAGGCAGCAGUGGGGAAUAUUGCACAAUGGGCGAAAGCCUGAUGCAGCAACGCCGCGCGAGCGAUGAAGGCCUUCGGGUCGUAAAGCUCUGUCCUCAAGGAAGAUAAUGACGGUACUUGAGGAGGAAGCCCCGGCUAACUACGUGCCAGCCGCCGCAGUAACAC